CAAAUAAUCAAAUUUGAAUCAAAGAGGCACAUGCUUUUCAAUUUUAACAAUUUAUUGGCAUUUAAACGUCUUGAUGCAUGCUCAAUCAUCCAGACUACUAGCAACCAUCGUGAUGCCCCGGCCAGCUACCGGCUCCUUUCGCCAACCUACACAGCUAUGCAACCUCCCCAUCAAAUAGUCUGUGUUCAGUGCCUUCUCUCACGACGAUGUGGCCUUCCAAAAACUUAUAACCAUGGCGACAGAGCCGAUCAGAGAAGUCGGGGACCUCCGUGAGGAGUUUGGAGCCUUCCGUUAAUCCUGCAGCACUGAACCUGUUGAUGCUGGGGUAUUGCCUCUGGAUUAGCCGUUUAAUAACAUAGAUGAGAUGAACAACUCUGCAAUGACCGGAGGCAAA